UAAAUGUUUGCUGACCCCUGUUCUAGUGAACUAACUAGAUAGGAGAUGCUCUGUGUAAUUUCAGCAGUUUAUGAUAUCUCAGAUCCUCUUUCACUAAUCUGAAAAUGAUUGGUAACAUUUCUCACCCCAUACCAUUUAAGUACAAGAUGUCCUUGACUCUUCAUCAACUGCUACAUUAAUAAUGAACAUAACCCUGGGAAAUUUGGGGAUUUCAUAUGGUGCGAAGAGAGGUCACUUUGAGGUAUUCAGCUGGUGGAUGGCUUCUCUUACAUGUCCCCUUGGCAGGGAUCACUAGAAGUCUGGCUCAGCUGGGGCUAUUCACCAUGGUGGCUACAUAAUGGCUUCUCCAGUAUGGUGAUUUCAGGUUAGUUGAAUUUUUACAUUAUAGCUCAAGACUAGCAAACAUAGUGUUUGAAGAAGCUUGAGUGGAAGCUUCAAGACUUAUGACCAAGAUUAGAAGUCCUGGAAUGUCACUUCUACCAUUUUCUACUGCUCAAGAAAGUCACUAAGACCAGCCCAAAUCCAAGGAGAGAGGAAUUAGAUUUCAACUCUCAACAGGAGAAGUACCAUACUAAAGACUAUAUGACCAUCUUUGGUUGACUGGCAGGUCUUCUGCUCCAUGCUGUAUCAACUGGGGUCACACAAAUAUAAUUAGUUGGUGGCUGGGCUGGGUCUAGAAGAUUGAAAAAGACCCCCCUUAUACAUCUGGUGGCUCAGCUGGGGUGGUUUGAGUGGCUGGAGCACCUCGGUCCUCUUCCAGAAAUAACGCCUUUCAGGAGCACAAGAGUUGAUGAAAGAAAACACUCUCAAAGUCAAGUUUGCUGUAGCCUGUAUACCUGAAAACGGUGGGCUUGAGAGGCCGGGAAGAGAAAGAAAGAAGAGGGAUAGUAACAACCUAAACAGCAAAGACUUGGAACUUGAAAUUAAAAAGAUAUACACCUAUCUAUGUAUUUCUGAUAUGUUUGUCAUAAUUUCAACCAAAGUUCAUGAUCUAUAGAAUUUUGCAUAAAUAAAAAAUAUCAUUUGGUUAGUUUUGACUCUCAUUAAAAAUAAAUUUUGUCAACCAUCCUCUUAUUAAGAUGUUUUAGAACUAAACACACAACACAAUUAUAUCUCCACAAAAUGCCACUAGGUUUCCUAACAGAGCAUCAACCUACUUAGAUUGUGAGCUCAUCAUUUUUAUGCAUGUGUUUACAUAGAUGCUUUUUUUUCUACAGGCAGCAUGAUAUAGUGAAAAGAAUGUGAGGUUCUGAAAUUAGAAGAACUGGGCAUGACUCCUAGAAUGUACUAUCUGUUGUGUGACCUUGGGCAAGUCACUUAAUCUGUCUGAGGCUUGUUUUUCUUGCUUGUCAAAUGAAAAAUAAAUGACAGCAAUAUUUCAGAUUUGGUGUGCAGAUCAUGUAAAUAAUAUAUGCGAAAGUGCUUAGUAAAUUGUAAAGCAUCA
rnacentral:lncRNA from 1 species